rnacentral:rRNA from 1 species
CUAGGUGUUGGAGGGUUUCCGCCCUUCAGUGCCGCAGCUAACGCAUUAAGCAUUCCGCCUGGGGAGUACGACCGCAAGGUUGAAACUCAAAGGAAUUGACGGGGCCGGCACAAGCGGUGGAGCAUGUGGUUUAAUUCGAAGCAACGCGAAGAACCUUACCAGGUCUUGACAUCUUUUGUAUCACCUGAGAGAUCAGGUUUCCCCUUCGGGGCGAAAAUGACAGGUGGUGCAUGGUUGUCGUCAGCUCGUGUCGUGAGAUGUUGGGUUAAGUCCCGCAACGAGCGCAACCCUUGCCCUAUGUUGCCAGCACGUUAUGGUGGGGACUCGUGGGGGACUGCCGGGGUUAACUCGGAGGAAGGUGGGGAUGACGUCAAAUCAUCAUGCCCCUUAUGUCUUGGGC